GUUACUAUAAGCUUGUGUUACUCUUUUGAUAACCCUUAACAUGUGUCAGAUAUGAGGUACAUCUGUGACAUGAUCAGCCAUUGCGAAUCCACUGAAUUGGAGUGGUAGCAAAUCAUCCUCAAGAAGAAAAGGAUGAAGAUGCUGGUCAAAGGGGAUUUGCAACAUGUCCGGAGCACCCGGAGGAAACCCACGCAGACACAGGGAGAAUGUACAAACUCCAUACAGAGUCAC